rfam:Hordeum vulgare subsp. vulgare, WGS project CAJW01000000 data, contig: morex_contig_50722
AUAGUACUCCCUCCGUCCCAUUUUUUUUUAGGUUUGUUUAGAAAUAAAUGUAUCUAAAUACUAAAACGUGACUAGAUACAUUCAUAUGUAGACAAAUCUAAAACAAAAAAAUUGAGACGGAGGGAGUAGAAA